rnacentral:rRNA from 1 species
AUGGACCUCCUCCAAAACGCGGAGGUGGACCUCGGAGCUCCACCUCUAGACCCCUUUAGGGUUGGUGACGACUUGGAGGAAAAGGAGGAAGAUGAGGAGGAUGAAGGGGAUGACGAGGAGGACCGAGAUAGGGAGGAGGCAUUCACCGCCGCUUCCCGUCCACACGCGCGGUCGACAAACUACACCGAGGCGGAAGAUAUCCUCUUGGUUCGUGCUUGGGCAGGUGUGGGAAUGGACGCAACCACCGGCACUGAUCAAACCGGUAAACGGUAUUGGCAAAGGAUCGAGGACACCUAUUGUAGGAUCAAGCCGAAGAAUAGUGGGUUCAUCUCUCGCACUUACCAGUCGCUUCAAGGCCGGUGGGAGUUGAUCAAGCCCGCUUGUGCUCGUUGGAGUGUGGCCAUGGACCAAGUGAGGGAUGCACCACCUAGUGGAACCGUGGAGAGUGACUAUGAGACAAUUGCCGGCAUGAGGUACAAGGAGAUGGCCGCUUCCAAGGGCAAGCCAUUCCCAUUUAAGCAUGCUUGGACAAUUCUUCAAAUCUUUGACAAGUGGAAGUUGAGGGAUCAAGAGACCGCACACAAGAAGUCGGCAAUGCUUAGGAUGGAUGAUAGUGAAGAUGAGGAGGAGAGGAACUUGGGCAAGCCCGAGGGAACCAAGAAGGGCAAGCUAAGGGUGAAGAUGGAAGAAGAGGCGUCAAGCCUAAGGGAGAAGAUGGACCACAUGAUGAAGGCAAGAGAGGAAUUGACAACGAAGACAUUGGAGACGAAGCUUCUUAUCACCGAGAAGAAGAAAGAGGUCAAGCUUGCACAAGUUGAAGCAAAGCGUGAAGAAGCAAAGCGCAAGGCCGAGUUGGAGGAGAGGAUGAUCAAGCUCAAGAGGCAAAGGUAUGGAAAGAACUCAUAG